CGACAUCUUCCCAGCCACCCCAUUUACUGUUUACCCUUUCAUAUACUAAUUUUGGUUAAGAUUCAAAAGGCUUUCGUAUUUUCAAUUUGUGGAUUCAUUAUUUUGGGCAAAGAAAUAACUCCAACGUCUGUUUCCUUUAUCCCUUUCACCGAUUGAAUUCAAUUCAAGGUCAAAGACUAUUAAUGGUCUUUGUCUUACUAUGGAAUUCAAAAAACCUCUCAAGAAUUCAACUCAAAUCCACCUUUUGAAAUCUGAAGAUCCUAGGGUCCCCCCCCUCCCCCCCUCUCCCAAUUUCCCCCUAUAAAUAGAUAGUGAAAACUAAAAAGAGGGAGAGAAUUUUUGGAAAAAAAAUUUGGGGAUUUUGAAGGAGCAUUCCUCUAAUCCCACAUAACCAAGAAUCCACGAAGAAAAUACAUUUAAUUUAUGAAAAAUACUUUGAAUUUCGAUGAACCCGUGUUUGAAUUCUGGUAUGGUGGAAUCUCCAAUUCAGUUCGAAUUCUCGUCUGCUGCCCAAAAACCGGUAAGGCUCAAUUCUUUUUACACCUUUCUUUUUUAGUUGUGAAUUUCGUCGCUGUUAUGUAUUCUGUUGUGAAUGGGAUUGGUUGAAUUUCCAUGAAAUUUUGGUUGUUUGGACAUUGUUUUCUGAGAGUAGGAGUAGAACAUGGUUGUAUGGCCGCAGUCUUGUUGUACAGGAUGUGUUAUCAAUCACCUUUUUAUUUUACAAUUUAGUUGUUUCUUUACGUGUUUUCGAGCAAGGAUUCAUAGAUGAGUCUCUUGGUAACAAAAUAUUAAGUCUGUUGUUAUAGCAAUAUAUCUCUGUGGAUUUGUAUAAUUAAAGUAAAUUUGUUGUCAAGCAAUAAUUUGAGAUGGAGCUUGAAUGCUUGGGUAUUUAAAUGCGAGGUAAUAACUACGGCUAGAAUAGCUUGAAUGCUUGGGUGUUUAAAUAAUGGUUCCAUUGUUUCUGUUUCAUAUUUUUAGCACAUACUUUUCUCCUAGUUUUCUUAGUAAAAAAUGAUUCAAAUCACUAAUGGUUUUUAGUAAAUUCAUACAUUUCAAAAUGGUGGUUUGAAGCUUUCAUCGAGACCAAGAGGGUAAUCUUUUGUUAAUAGUUGAAGGACAUUACCUUUGUAAAUCACUCAAAUUCAUCGAAUAUACAAACGUAUGAGUUGUUUUCGAUUGUCAAACAAGUUCAAAGUUGGGAUUUUAAAAGGUUCCUCCCUUUCCCAUUAUUGUUGUGUGGUUGCAAGCUGAAAUUUCCCCCUUUAGUUCCAUUAUUUUGAACUAGAAAUCAAAAUUUUCUUUAACCAUGAAGUUGGUCAUUAAGUUUCUGCACUUUUUUGUUUAAACAUGAUGGAUUGAUUACCUGGGUUGUCUUAGAAACAUAUUUGAAGUUUGUUUUGCUUCAAAGCAAUAAUGUCCAGUGAUGAAAGAAAAAAGAAGCUAAAGCUUGCUUGUUUAUUAAAUCUAGCUCGUCUUUAUUCAUGGUUAAAGAGGUUUUGCACUCCGAAGUGUAUCUAUUUGAAAUACUUGAUUGAAGUGUUGUGUCAAAGCUCAAAGCCCCUUCAUAAUUGUUAAUUCAUUCUCUCUUGAGCGUAUGGAUAGAAUAUGACGAUACCCUAUCUUCUCUAAAACAUGACAAGUUUGUUUUAAAAAUCUUACUCAUGAUUGUGAAUUGGCCACUAAUCCUUAUCUCCUUUAUUUUUGCAUGUAAAAUUUUGCUCAAGUUUAUUGUACUCUUUCUGGCCUCUACCCGACCAUAUCCCGAGUCAAUCCCCAUGCUAAAGUCCCAAACGGACUGAUACAGUGGUGAUGUACAGCAGAGAUACACCAAUAUACAGGUUCAGAUAAAAAGGAAAAUUGAAAAGGAAGCUGAUUAUACAGGGGGAGGAGCAGAGGUGUGUGUGUGUGACUAAAAUACGGUCAUAUAUACACCGUAUAUACACAAAACCGCAGGAAAAUAUAGCUGGUAUACAUGUGGUAUACACCGCAGGAGAAUGGACCUAAAGUUCAUAAAAUGAGAAGCCCAAAGGCUGGGCAGCUAACUAAUGGGCCAAAAAGGGGCCCAACUCUAACUUUAAUCUCUUAUUCUUUUAUAAAUUGCAACUUAUAUACUUAUUUAUUUGUAUUAGCACUAAUUUUACUUAGUUAACCUAGUGAUUUCCCAGGUUGUUGCCAUUCCAUUUAUCUUGAAUCCCUAAUUUAUUUUAUAAUUUUCCCACGUAAUUCAUAAAAGGAGAAAAAUAAGUACUUUAGUCCAAAAAAUGACAUUUGUUUUGUUCAUAUGACUAAUAGUCCACUUGGGUUAAAAAAUAAUUUUCUUCAAGCUCAAGAAGUUAAUUCCUUUCUCGUAAAUUCUAACUUUCCAUAAUUGAUAAAAAUAUUUUUAACAUGACACUUCCUUAAUAUUUUUCAAAGGUGUUAUUUAUAACAAAAUGGUCAUUUUUAUGACAAUAAUAAUAAUAAAUAAUUAUAUAAUUCUCAUUUUCCAUAAAAAAAAUUAACUUAUUUCCUCUUUAAAGUCAAGUGUGCAAUCUAGUUAGAUAGGUUUCCUUCUUUUUUUUUUUUUUUUUUUUUUUAAAUU
rnacentral:lncRNA from 1 species